rnacentral:rRNA from 1 species
CCAAUAGCGUAUAUUAAAGUUGUUGCAGUUAAAAAGCUCGUAGUUGAAUUUCGGGGUUAGUAGGCUGGUCAUGCCUCCGGUAUGUACUGGUCUCACUGAUUCCUCCUUCCUGAUGAACCGUAAUGCCAUUAAUUUGGUGUUGCGGGGAACUUGGACUGUUACUUUGAAAAAAUUAGAGUGUUUAAAGCAGGCUAACGCUUGAAUACAUUAGCAUGGAAUAAUGAAAUAGGACGUUCGAUCCUAUUUUGUUGGUUUCUAGGAUUGACGUAAUGAUUAAUAGGGAUAGUUGGGGGCAUUAGUAUUCAAUUGUCAGAGGUGAAAUUCUUGGAUUUAUUGAAGACUAACUACUGCGAAAGCAUUUGCCAAGGAUGUUUUCAUUAAUCAAGAACGAAAGUUAGGGGAUCGAAGACGAUCAGAUACCGUCGUAGUCUUAACCAUAAACUAUGCCGACUAGGGAUCGGAUGAUGUUAAUUUUUUAAUGACUCAUUCGGCGCCUUACG